rnacentral:rRNA from 1 species
GAUGUACGCUAGCGGCAGGCUUAAUACAUGCAAGUCGAGGGGCAGCAGGACGGUAGCAAUACCGUUGCUGGCGACCGGCAAACGGGUGCGGAACACGUACGCAACCUACCCAUAACUGGGGGAUAGCCCGGGGAAACCCGGAUUAAUACCUCGUAACCUUAUGAAGUGGCAUCGCUUUAUAAGUAUAGCUCCGGCGGUUAUGGAUGGGCGUGCGCCUGAUUAGGUAGUUGGCGGGGUAACGGCCCACCAAGCCUGCGAUCAGUAACUGGUGUGAGAGCACGACCAGUCAAACGGGCACUGAGACACGGGCCCGACUCCUACGGGAGGCAGCAGUAAGGAAUAUUGGUCAAUGGACGCAAGUCUGAACCUGCCAUGCCGCGUGAAGGAUGAAGGUCCUCUGGAUUGUAAACUUCUUUUAUAGGGGAAGAAAUCUGAAUAUUCCUAUUCAGUUGACGGUACCCUAGGAAUAAGCACCGGCUAACUCCGUGCCAGCAGCCGCCGUAAAAC